rnacentral:rRNA from 1 species
AGUGGACGCUGGCGGUAGGCCUAACACAUGCAAGUCGAACGGCAGCACAGUAAGAGCUUGCUCUUACGGGUGGCGAGUGGCGGACGGGUGAGGAAUACAUCGGAAUCUACUUUUUCGUGGGGGAUAACGUAGGGAAACUUACGCUAAUACCGCAUACGACCUACGGGUGAAAGCAGGGGAUCUUCGGACCUUGCGCGAUUGAAUGAGCCGAUGUCGGAUUAGCUAGUUGGCGGGGUAAAGGCCCACCAAGGCGACGAUCCGUAGCUGGUCUGAGAGGAUGAUCAGCCACACUGGAACUGAGACACGGUCCAGACUCCUACGGGAGGCAGCAGUGGGGAAUGUUGGACAAUGGGCGCAAGCCUGAUCCAGCCAUACCGCGUGGGUGAAGAAGGCCUUCGGGUUGUAAAGCCCUUUUGUUGGGAAAGAAAAGCAGCAGGUUAAUACCCCGCUGUUCUGACGGUACCCAAAGAAUAAGCACCGGCUAACUUCGUG